GGGGGCGAACUUGGUUUCGACGGGGUCAAUCUGGACGGGAGCAGCAAGCCGAGCUGCCGGCGGGCUCGUUAAACUGCCGGAAACUAAACACAAACGCAGACAACGAUCUCGCGUUAGCCGCUUAAGAGCGGCUCGUCGCCCCCGCCGGUCCGCGGGCGGGACAAGCGGCGUCAGCUAGCGGACUCAAGCCGAUGCGGCCGUCUCUCGCCGCAGCCGGCGAAACUUUCAGGGAGACUGGCGAACCGGAUCCGGCCUUCGCGGAGCCGCGACGCGAGACUUAAAAGCGAGGGCUAAGCUUGUAGCGGCUCCCCUUCGGGUGGCUUCGGACGCGGGUUCGAUUCCCGCCGCCUCCACCA
rnacentral:tmRNA from 1 species